GAUCAUUAGGUUUCUAAAUAUCUCAUUUUACUUUUAGGUAUAAUAUUGUGCAUUAUGUUAAGAGUGAUGUCUUGGUGGUUAUCAAUUUUGUGGGAAGUUUGAAUAGAAAAUUAUGUUUCAAGAAGAUUUGUUCUGCUGAAUUGGGAUCUCUUAUGUAGAUUGGAAAGUAAUAGUUGGAGUGACUAGCUCUUUGCUUUUAUCUCGUGGUUCCAUAAUGUAAUAAAAAAAUUGGUAUCUUAAAAAAGACUAACUUUGUGAUACUUAAAAUGUACAUGAUUACUGUUUCUUGUCAGUUGAAAUGGUUGAAUUUUUCCAAUUGAUUAAGGGCCCUAAAAUAUGGAUUUUUAGCUCCACCUAUGAUUGGUCAAUGUGACUUGUAAUUUUUUUGUUGUCGGUUAUAGAAUACUCAAAAGGUUUCUUAUUGGUCAAUGUGACUUGCAAAUUUUUUAUUGUCGGUUAUAGAAUACUCAAAAGGUUUCUUAACUGGGAAAGAUAUGGUUGAACCUCAACUUUAAUGGUUUUAAACUCUAAGUACUCUAUGGUUUUGAAAUCCAUAGAGAACAAUGGUAUUAUCUCCUUCAGCUUCGAAGAUCUGAUUUACUUCACACUUCUUGUUCAUGUCAAUAUUGAAGUUUCAAGAAUUUCCUUUCUUGAGGUCUACUAUAGGUGAACAAGUUGCUCAGUAUGAAUUUGUUCCUAAAUUCUCAAUGUCUAAUAUUGUGACUAUUUUUAAUUUUUGUGUUUGAAGUAGAUCUACAACUAUUACUUUACGUGAAUUUAUAUUUGUUGUAUAGGUAUAUUUCUGUGCGUGUUUGACAAACAUGCAAUUUUAUAAUCUUUUGAAUGUUUUGCUAGUACUUCAUAGAAUCGUAUUAUCUAUCAUCUAUGGAAGCUAAUGGAUUACUGUAAUUUGGAUAUUGCUAUCCAAAGAUGACAUCACUCAAUGUAAAUUUAUUUCUAUUGUAUAGGUAUAUUUCUGUGGUGUUUGCCAAAUGUGCAAUUUUAUAAUCUUUUCAAUGUUUUGCUAGUACUUCAUAGAGUCGUAUUAUCUAUCAUCUCUGGAAGCUAAAGGAAUCUGAAAUAAAAAGUGUGAUGGACUACUGAAAUGUGGAUGUUGCUGUGGGAUCUUCCUAGAGUUUGAAAACACCCCUUAGAUGAUCAUAGGCUGGCCCAGUCGGAACUUAACUCGUAUUGUCUGAAGAUGAAGGAAUGCGAUUCUCAAAUCUCGAGCAUUCUCAAGAAGGAGCGCAGCAAUAGAGUAAAAUUUAUCCUGGUGCUAGCAAACCAUGCAAGGAUGUGUAGGCAAGUCCCUUGAAGACUCUGAUCCAAUAAUGCGACACUAGUAUUGGGAAAAAUUGUAACUUAGGCUUGCUGAAUGACAGACUCACUGCGCUACCCAGAAGAGGAUUUUUCUCCUACAUACUUCUAAGUGUUUGCUUCUCAAGGAGUAUACUAGUUGUGGGAAAAUUGCAAUUUGUUUUUUCAUAUUGAAAUGUUAAUUUGCUAGUUUGAAAAGAAUUGAUUAAUUCUUGGUGUAGUAUUUUACUCCGGACUCGGUAACUCUCUAGCCCUUCAUUAGUUAGGCUUUUUAAUUUUGACUUUAUUGGUUUUGUUGUGGAUAUUCGAUUUGACUAUAUAAUUAUUAUAUUCAUUGACCUUGUAAAUAUUAGUUUAUAUGAAUUUCAAUUAUUUUUAAGUGUA